AUUGAACGCUGGCGGCAUGCCUUACACAUGCAAGUCGAACGGCAGCGCGGGUGCUUGCACCUGGUGGCGAGUGGCGAACGGGUGAGUAAUACAUCGGAACGUACCUUAUCGUGGGGGAUAACGCAGCGAAAGCUGUGCUAAUACCGCAUACCCCCUGAGGGGGAAAGCGGGGGAUCGAAAGACCUCGCGCGAUUAGAGCGGCCGAUGCCUGAUUAGCUUGUUGGUGGGGUAAAAGCCCACCAAGGCGACGAUCAGUAGCUGGUCUGAGAGGACGAUCAGCCACACUGGGACUGAGACACGGCCCAGACUCCUACGGGAGGCAGCAGUGGGGAAUUUUGGACAAUGGGGCAACCCUGAUCCAGCAAUGCCGCGUGAGUGAAGAAGGCCUUCGGGUUGUAAAGCUCUUUUGUCAGGGAAGAAACACCGGCUCUAACACAGUCCGGGAAUGACGGUACCUGAAGAAUAAGCACCGGCUAACUACGUGCCAGCAGCCGCAGUAA
rnacentral:rRNA from 1 species